rnacentral:rRNA from 1 species
UACAGAGGGUGCAAGCGUUAAUCGGAAUUACUGGGCGUAAAGCGUGCGCAGGCGGUUUUGUAAGUCUGACGUGAAAUCCCCGGGCUCAACCUGGGAAUUGCGUUGGAGACUGCAAGGCUAGAAUCUGGCAGAGGGGGGUAGAAUUCCACGUGUAGCAGUGAAAUGCGUAGAGAUGUGGAGGAACACCGAUGGCGAAGGCAGCCCCCUGGGUCAAGAUUGACGCUCAUGCACGAAAGCGUGGGGAGCAAACAGG